GAUGAACACUGGCGGCGUGCCUAAUACAUGCAAGUCGAGCGAAUGGAUUAAGAGCUUGCUCUUAUGAAGUUAGCGGCGGACGGGUGAGUAACACGUGGGUAACCUGCCCAUAAGACUGGGAUAACUCCGGGAAACCGGGGCUAAUACCGGAUAACAUUUUGAACCGCAUGGUUCGAAAUUGAAAGGCGGCUUCGGCUGUCACUUAUGGAUGGACCCGCGUCGCAUUAGCUAGUUGGUGAGGUAACGGCUCACCAAGGCAACGAUGCGUAGCCGACCUGAGAGGGUGAUCGGCCACAAUGGGACUGAGACACGGCCCAGGCGCCUACGGGAGGCAGCAGUAGGGAAUCUUCCGCAAUGGACGAAAGUCUGACGGAGCAACGCCGCGUGAGUGAUGAAGGAUUUCGGGUCGUAAAACUCUGUUGUUAGAGAAGAACAAGUGCUAGUUGAAUAAGCUGGCACCUUGACGGUACCUAACCAGAAAGCCACGGCUAACUACGUGCCAGCCGCCGCAGUAA
rnacentral:rRNA from 1 species